GGGUCAGUAGGUUGGUCGUGCCACCGGUACGUACUGGUCUCACUGAUUCCUCCUUCCUGAAGAACCGUAAUGCCAUUAAUUUGGUGUUGCGGGGAAACAGGACUGUUACUUUGAAAAAAUUAGAGUUUUUAAAGCAAGCUAACGCUUGAAUACAUUAGCAUGUAAUAAUGAAAUAGGACGAUCGAUCCUAUUUUGUUGGUUUCUAGGAUUGACGUA
rnacentral:rRNA from 1 species